GAAAUUAUAGUCAACGAUGAUAUUUGGGUUGCAUUCAAAAGGUGCCUUUUAAGGCUAAUUUUG
rnacentral:tRNA from 1 species